UGAACGCUGGCGGCAGGCCUAACACAUGCAAGUCGAACGGUAACAGGAAGCAGCUUGCUGCUUCGCUGACGAGUGGCGGACGGGUGAGUAAUGUCUGGGAAACUGCCUGAUGGAGGGGGAUAACUACUGGAAACGGUAGCUAAUACCGCAUAACGUCGCAAGACCAAAGAGGGGGACCUUCGGGCCUCUUGCCAUCGGAUGUGCCCAGAUGGGAUUAGCUAGUAGGUGGGGUAACGGCUCACCUAGGCGACGAUCCCUAGCUGGUCUGAGAGGAUGACCAGCCACACUGGAACUGAGACACGGUCCAGACUCCUACGGGAGGCAGCAGUGGGGAAUAUUGCACAAUGGGCGCAAGCCUGAUGCAGCCAUGCCGCGUGUAUGAAGAAGGCCUUCGGGUUGUAAAGUACUUUCAGCGGGGAGGAAGGCGAUAAGGUUAAUAACCUUGUCGAUUGACGUUACCCGCAGAAGAAGCACCGGCUAACUCCGUGCCAGCAGCCGCGGUAAUACGGAGGGUGCAAGCGUUAAUCGGAAUUACUGGGCGUAAAGCGCACGCAGGCGGUCUGUCAAGUCGGAUGUGAAAUCCCCGGGCUCAACCUGGGAACUGCAUUCGAAACUGGCAGGCUAGAGUCUUGUAGAGGGGGGUAGAAUUCCAGGUGUAGCGGUGAAAUGCGUAGAGAUCUGGAGGAAUACCGGUGGCGAAGGCGGCCCCCUGGACAAAGACUGACGCUCAGGU
rnacentral:rRNA from 1 species